rnacentral:rRNA from 1 species
GAUGAACGCUGGCGGCGUGCCUAAUACAUGCAAGUCGAGCGAACAGACGAGGAGCUUGCUCCUCCGACGUUAGCGGCGGACGGGUGAGUAACACGUGGAUAACCUACCUAUAAGACUGGGAUAACUUCGGGAAACCGGAGCUAAUACCGGAUAAUAUAUUGAACCGCAUGGUUCAAUAGUGAAAGACGGUUUUGCUGUCACUUAUAGAUGGAUCCGCGCCGCAUUAGCUAGUUGGUAAGGUAACGGCUUACCAAGGCGACGAUGCGUAGCCGACCUGAGAGGGUGAUCGGCCACACUGGAACUGAGACACGGUCCAGACACCUACGGGAGGCAGCAGUAGGGAAUCUUCCGCAAUGGGCGAAAGCCUGACGGAGCAACGCCGCGUGAGUGAUGAAGGUCUUCGGAUCGUAAAACUCUGUUAUUAGGGAAGAACAAAUGUGUAAGUAACUAUGCACGUCUUGACGGUACCUAAUCAGAAAGCCACGGCUAACUACGUG